rnacentral:rRNA from 1 species
UACGUAGGGGGCAAGCGUUGUCCGGAUUUAUUGGGCGUAAAGCGCGCGUAGGCGGCUUUGCAAGUUAGAGGUGAAAGCCUGGGGCUCAACUCCAGAACUGCCUUUAAAACUGCAUCGCUUGAAUCCAGGAGAGGUGAGUGGAAUUCCGAGUGUAGAGGUGAAAUUCGUAGAUAUUCGGAAGAACACCAGUGGCGAAGGCGGCUCACUGGACUGGUAUUGACGCUGAGGUGCGAAAGCGUGGGGAGCAAACAGG